rnacentral:rRNA from 1 species
GCUUACGGCCAUACCACAUUAGGCACGCCCGAUCUCGUCUGAUCUCGUUAGCUAAGCAGGGUCGGGACUGGUUAGUACUUGGAUGGGUGACCGCCUGGGAAUACCAGGUGCUGUAAGCA